rnacentral:rRNA from 1 species
CAAGGCAAACACCCUACCUGCUGUGCUAUCUAGUAGCUAAGCAGGGUCAGGCCUGGUUAGUAUUUGGAUGGGAGACCACCUGGGAAUACCAGGUGCUUAGGCCUUGU